UUAAGCAACAAAAAUAAUCCAUUUCAAUCAUAAAUUGAACAAUCGCGAGGGAAAAAAUGAUCAGGCGGGCAGUAACUUGUAAACAGCAGAUCCUUCAGUAUACAUUUUCCUUCGUCUUUCAACAUGUGAAAGGACUUUGCAACUUCCAAAAAAAAAAAAAAAGUCUCUUACAGAUUCGGCAUUCCCAUUCCAGUUUUAGCAUCAUAUGUUUUCUCGGAGACCAAAUCCGACGGAGUAUCCUUGGGACCAACAACUGUUGGCCUUGUUGUGGUCCUAAUCUUCAAGAUCUCCAAUGAAGGGAUUUAAGCAUGCCUUUGCCGUGAAGAAUCUGAACAGAAGUUUGUAUCAUUUUGAAAUGUCAUGAGAUUUCUCUCAGAUUGCCUCUCCCGUGAAGCGCC
rnacentral:lncRNA from 1 species